CUUGUUCUAGAUGAUUUCUUUGUGUUAACAAGAGGAAGCAAGUCCAUUGCCAAGAAAAGCUGCUAAGUUCCCAUAAAACCAGGAGAUGGUCCAUCCUCCUAAAAAGCAAACAAGUGGCCACCACAGCAGAUUGCUCCCUAAGUGUGCAGGAGACUGCUUUGUGAUGAAAAGGUGGUGAUGACCUGAAGAUGACAAAAGUGUGUUGGAGUUCCAUUGUAGAAUGGCCACCGUGGCAAGUCUACAGGAAAAGGUACAGGUUUCAGCUAAAGGAGAAAGGCUCACUGAUGGAAAGUUCUUUGGGCAUGGCAUCAGAUCAAGAACAGAUAGAGAAAUACUUCAUCCUGGCCACCGUAAGGACAAAUGAGCUUUUUGUGCCACAAGUAUGUAUCCAAUUCAUUCAUUUGUUCAUUCAUUCAUUUGUUCAUCUUCUUAGUACCAGGCACUCUUUUCUGGGCUAAAGAAUAUGUCAAAGAAGAAAGCAGGUAGGAAUUUGUGCCCUCAUAAAAUUUAUACUACAGUGGGAG
rnacentral:lncRNA from 1 species